rnacentral:snRNA from 1 species
ACCAUUCAACAUAUAUUUUGAAGC